rnacentral:rRNA from 1 species
UACGUAGGGUGCGAGCGUUGUCCGGAAUUAUUGGGCGUAAAGAGCUUGUAGGCGGUUUGUCGCGUCUGCCGUGAAAAUUCGAGGCUCAACCUCGAACUUGCGGUGGGUACGGGCAGACUAGAGUGUGGUAGGGGAGACUGGAAUUCCUGGUGUAGCGGAGAAAUGCGCAGAUAUCUGGAGGAACACCGGUGGCGAAGGCGGCAUCCUGGACCGGCAUUGACGCUGAGGCGCGAAAGCCAGGGGAGCAAACGGG